GUGGGUGUAGCUCAGCAGGUAGAGCACCUGGUUGUGGUCCAGGAUGUCGCGGGUUCAAGUCCCGUCACUCACC
rnacentral:tRNA from 1 species